rnacentral:rRNA from 1 species
ACUACGGGUGGCAGCAGUGGGGAAUAUUGGACAAUGGGGGAAAGCCUGAUCCAGCCAUGCCGCGUGUGUGAAGAAGGCCUUCGGGUUGUAAAGCACUUUCAGUGGGGAAGAAAGCCUUGGGGCUAAUACCCUCGAGGAAGGACAUCACCCACAGAAGAAGCACCGGCUAACUCCGUGCCAGCAGCCGCGGUAAUACGGAGGGUGCGAGCGUUAAUCGGAAUUACUGGGCGUAAAGCGCGCGUAGGCGGUCUGAUAAGCCGGUUGUGAAAGCCCCGGGCUCAACCUGGGAACGGCAUCCGGAACUGUCAGGCUAGAGUGCAGGAGAGGAAGGUAGAAUUCCCGGUGUAGCGGUGAAAUGCGUAGAGAUCGGGAGGAAUACCAGUGGCGAAGGCGGCCUUCUGGACUGACACUGACGCUGAGGUGCGAAAGCGUGGGUAGCAAACAGGAUUAGAUACCCGAGUAGUC